AGUUAGGCAUUGUAAUUCAUUUGUGAUGGGUGUAAUAGACUGUACAGGGGUGUGAUAGUCAUACCAUAGUCAUGGACCCUUUAAUUCCUCCAGCGCUGCAAGCCAGGAGUCCGAAAUUCUUGCUCUCGCAGAGGAGGACAUGUGCAACCACCUCAGCCAUCAGGUCUUUUGAGGUUGAAGACUACAGAACCUUAUCGUUUUUGUUUGAAUGUUUUCACAGGUGCAGGAGUGGAACAACAGAGUGCCGGAGGGAGAUGGAGUCACUGUAACGCUGUCCAAAGGAGCUAUUCAGUUAAGCAGAAAAGAAGAACAUGUAAGACCACACACUACACAACACACUAUAAGUUCAUUAUCAGUCUUGUGACAGCGAACACUUGUAAUAUAUGAAAUUUUUGCCUUAGUGGUUGGACUGAUACUUUGUUAAUAUCCGGCCAGAAUAUUUAAAGGCCCAAACUCCAGAGAGAGACGACAGGGGCCGGUUCUUCCUGGGAGCUUCAGGAGUCCCUCUUAGCAACCCGACAGCCGAUUUGCAAAGGCUAUGACAAAAGUAAGUAUUGUAAUGUUUCAUGUGGAUACGGUUGGGUUACACUACAGGCCAUGAUGGACAUCAUACCUUCAUUUCUCCCUCCAAUGUAUGUCCGCAGGUAUGUCAUGAGGCUUCAGGAGAGAUGUCCCCAGCUCAUCUGCGGAAGGGGAGGCACCACACAUGCCGGAGAGGACAGCGGCACCUACCGCAGCAGCCCAGCUCCCGACUCCUCGGUUUUGGGGUGCCUUUGAGGACCGGUUUCCCGUUACCCUUCACGGAAAGCCUCCGACAAGGGCGCAGGCAGCAGAUGUAGGAUUUAUGGACCGCAGCUACUACCACUACUGGGGGUGCAGUAUAUUCUCGGUAAGUGCUUAAAAUGGUGCCAAUCACAUUAUGGUCUACUUUAAGUGAGCUGUGUUUGGUUAAAACUCAUCUCAGUCCUGUUCCUCAGAGCAGUCCACUGGCAGGGCCAGCCAAAAACCCCUGGCAUCUCACGUCCAGCAUGCCAUUGCCAAGGAGAAUGCGUGGACCACCAACGUGCCCUCCGUAGACGGUGUUCUGCUGGCGUGGGUGCCCUUCCAGGAGCCAUCGGCUGCAGAGAAUGAUCCUGUGAUCAUUGCCUCCGUGGUCCAGCAGAAAUGGAAAGGGUUGGCCAUUAAGUCCUUUGAGGGGAAAGGCAAAGGUUUGUCACAGUUUUGACUACUCAGUUUUUAAAAAAACGAUUGUAAUCUUAUUUUAAUUUGGUAAAGAGUGAAGUGGAUUGCUCAAUAGCACGUUGAUUUACCUUU
rnacentral:lncRNA from 1 species